rnacentral:lncRNA from 1 species
UUUGUUGACCAGCCCGUGGGUAAGCAUGAAUGCCGUGCCCUCACCCUGGACCCAGGGAUCUCUGGCUUAGGAGGAAUAGGAAUCGGGAACAAGGAGUUUUAAGUCGGAUUAGAGAUCCACACUGCUAAACAGUAAACUUUCAUUCUUUUCUUCACUGACUCAUGUUCAUCUCCCUUUUUGGCUUCUCUGUUCCACUUUUGUUUGGCAGGCUUUUUCUUCUGUGUUCUACUGCACCCUCGGCUGCAGGAUUUCUGCCCCCUAACACCCACCCGCCUGCCCGCAGUGCUGACCCUUGCCCACCCGCGCUGUUCCCAGCCUGCUCAGCUCUUUUUGCCUACGAAUAGCAGUUACCCCCACUCCUACCCAUUCCCCAAACCAGGAUUUCCCUUCGUCCUCUCCAGUCUCGCCUCUCCCAGAGUCCUAACAAAUCCUCUCCUCCAUCGUUCACCUUCUCUCUAAACACCCCAGAAAAAA